rnacentral:rRNA from 1 species
UUUAACAAAAACAUGUCCUUUUGAUAAUAAUUUAAGGUCUAAUCUGCCCACUGAGGAAUUAAAUGGCCGCGGUAUUUUGACCGUGCAAAGGUAGCAUAAUCAUUAGUUUCUUAAUUAGAAGCUGGAAUGAAUGAUUGGAUGAGAAAAUAACUGUCUCAAGUUAAUUUUUUUUGAAUUUUAUAUUUAAGUUAAAAAGCUUAAAUUUAAUUAAAAGACGAGAAGACCCUAUAGAGUUUAAUUUUUAAAUUAAAUUUUGAGUUAUUGUUUUUAUUGUUAAAAUUUAAUUUAAAAAUUUUGUUGGGGUGAUAGAAAAAUUUAAUUAACUUUUUUUAUAUAUUAACAUUAAUUAAUGAAUAAUUGAUCCAAAAUUUUUGAUUAAAAGAAUAAAUUACCUUAGGGAUAACAGCGUAAUUUUUUUUAAGAGUUCUUAUCGAAAAAAAAGAUUGCGACCUCGAUGUUGGAUUAAAAUUAAUUUUUGGUGUAGAAGCUAAAAAAUUAGGUCUGUUCGACCUUUAAAAUUUUACAUGAUCUGAGUUAGACC